rnacentral:tRNA from 1 species
GUGUUAGUAACCCAUGUUGGUUGGGUGCCUGCCUUCCAAGCAGGAUUUCGCGGGUUCGAUUCCUGUCUAGCACAC